UUCGUGGGGUUCGGCUUGAAGUCCGUAGGGUUUCUUCGUCAACAUCAACAGAUCCAGACUUGGGACAAAUCAAGACUAACAAGUGCAGUACAGAGGCAUCAACAAAUGCAUGUUGACGGAAAUUUAAAUAAGACAAUUUCGCUAUCCUGCUAUAAAGUGAUAUAGUCUGAAAUCGAGAGUCAAUUGUUUAACGACCGAACAACAAAACACAAUUACAAGAUGGUCGGAUGAGAAAUCAAGUUAAAUCUACAAAGAAGACACGUUGUUUUAUUUGUAGGAAAAUGCCAGUGCAGAAUAGAGUUGUACAAGAUAAGGGUCACAUGCUUUGAAAGAUUGUAGGUGCUUGAUAUAGCACAAACAACAUAGAAAAAUAAGUCAAACGUUAUUUCAAUUAAUGAAACCAUUUCAACGCCUUUUGCAGGCUCAAUGUGA